AUUGAACGCUGGCGGCAGGCCUAACACAUGCAAGUCGAACGAGUGGCGGACGGGUGAGCAAGGGCGGGGAAACUGCCUGAUGUAGGGGGAUAACUACUGGAAACGUUAGCUACUACCGCAUAACAUCAGAUGUGGCCAGGUGGGAUUAGCGUGUUGGUGGGGUAACGGGUCACCAAGGGGACGAUCCCUAGCUGGGCUGAGAGGGUGACCAGCCACACUGGAACUGAGAAACGGUCCAGAAUCCUACGGGAGGCAGCAGUGGGGAAUAUUGCGCAAUGGGAGAAAGCCUGAUGCAGCAAUGCCGCGUGAGUGAAGAAGGCCUUCGGGUUGUAAAGUACUUUCAGCGGAGAGGCGUUACCCAAAGAGGAAGCCCCGGCUAACUCCGUGCCAGCAGCCGCGGUAAUAC
rnacentral:rRNA from 1 species